rnacentral:rRNA from 1 species
UACGUAGGUGGCAAGCGUUGUCCGGAGUUAUUGGGCGUAAAGCGCGCGCAGGCGGUGCGGUAAGUCUCUGGUGAAAGCGCUCGGCUUAACUGGGCGAGGGCCGGGGAGACUGCCACGCUGGAGGGGAGCAGAGGCGAGUGGAAUUCCGGGUGUAGUGGUGAAAUGCGUAGAGAUCCGGAGGAACACCAGUGGCGAAGGCGGCUCGCUGGGCUCUACCUGACGCUGAGGCGCGAAAGCGUGGGGAGCGAGCCGG